rnacentral:misc_RNA from 1 species
UAUGAAGAACGUAGCGAAAUGCGAUAAGUAAUGUGAAUUGCAGAAUUCAGUGAAUCAUCGAAUCUUUGAACGCACAUUGCGCCCCCUGGUAUUCCGGGGGGCAUGCCUGUUCGAGCGUCAUUUCACCACUCAAGCCUCGCUUGGUAUUGGGCAACGCGGUCCGCCGCGUGCCUCAAAUCGACCGGCUGGGUCUUCUGUCCCCUAAGCGUUGUGGAAACUUUCGCUAAAGGGUGUUCGGGAGGCUACGCCGUAAAACAACCCCAUUUCUAAGGUUGACCUCGGAUCAGGUAGGGAUACCCGCUGAACUUAAGCAUAUCAAUAAGCGGAGGA